ensembl:lncRNA
CUCUCUCUCUCUCUCACAGACACAGAGCCAACAGGUUGCUUCAGCUUCACACCCCCUUUUCAAACUUUGCAGCGCUCCACCAGUCAGUCAUCCCUCUCACACACACUCUCACACACACUCUCACACACUCUCACACACUCUCACACACACUCUCACACUCAUUCACCUCCAUCCUCCCACACUGGGUUCACCACUUUUGUUUGCUUUCUUAACUUUAUCGAAUUGACUUCAACUUCAUUUGGAUUACAGCAAUUUGACUAGUUUAUCCUGGAAAAACUGCAAGAUCUGGGAACUGGAUUGUUAAAUCUGUGGAAUAAAGACUAUUUUGAUUUCUUUUCUCUGGAGAGGUGAACUGAAAGCAGUGGAGCCAAGGAGGCUGGAUGAAGAGCAGAGCGCUCAGGGUGUGAGGAGACCGGCCCGGGAGCGGAGGAGAGAGGGAGAACCACGAGAGAGAGAGAGGGAGAACCACGAGAGCGAGAGGGGGAGAGAGAGAGAGAGAGAGAGAGAGAGAGAGAGAGAGAGAGAGAGAGAGAGAGAGAGAGAGAGAGAGAGAGAGAGAGAGAGAGAGAGAGAGAGAG